AAAGAAAUUUUAGUAUAAAAAGCUUCUAACUUUUUUUAAAGCAUUAACUUGUUUGU
rnacentral:tRNA from 1 species